rnacentral:rRNA from 1 species
CCUACGGGGUGCAGCAGUGAGGAAUAUUGGUCAAUGGACGCAAGCCUGAACCAGCCAUGCAGCGUGAAGGAAGACUGCUCUAUGGGUUGUAAACUGCUUUUGUAAAAGGAUAAAGGCAGAUACGCGUACCUGUCUGAAAGUAUCGUACGAAUAAGGAUCGGCUAACUCCGUGCCAGCAGCCGCGGUAAUACGGAGGAUUCAAGCGUUAUCCGGAUUUAUUGGGUUUAAAGGGUGCGUAGGUGGUCGGAUAAGUUAGUGGUGAAAUCCCGAGGCUCAACUUCGGAAUUGCCACUGAUACUGUCAGGCUAGAGAAUAGUUGCGGUAGGCGGAAUGCAUGGUGUAGCGGUGAAAUGCUUAGAGAUCAUACAGAACACCGAUUGCGAAGGCAGCUUACCAAGCUACUUCUGACGUUGAGGCACGAAAGCGUGGGUAGCAAACAGGAUUAGAUACCCGAGUAGUC